GACGAACGCUGGCGGCGUGCUUAACACAUGCAAGUCGAACGAAGUGGCGAACGGGUGAGUAACGCGUAAUCAACCUGCCCUUCAGAGGGGGACAACAGUUGGAAACGACUGCUAAUACCGCAUACUGAAGGAGGGGACUGCGUCUGAUUAGCUAGUUGGAGGGGUAACGGCCCACCAAGGCGAUGAUCAGUAGCCGGUCUGAGCGGAUGAACGGCCACAUUGGGACUUGGACGCGGCGCAGGAUGCUACAGGAGACAGCGAGUGGGAAUCUUCCGCAAUGGAGCAAAGUAAAACGGAGCCACGGCACGUGGUUAAUGGAGACCCUUGGGUUGUAUAGCUCUGUUAAGCGGGGCGCGGAACCUGAAUGGAAGGCCACGGCUAACUACGUGCCAGCAGCCGCGGUAAUUC
rnacentral:rRNA from 1 species